rnacentral:misc_RNA from 1 species
CUUUGCUACUUCCACCGUCUCCCUUGUUUUCCCAAGAGCUUCCUGAUGCUUUGCCCCAUGAAUCACCGCGUUCCCCAUCUGCAUUAGCUUCCUUACCCCAACCACCAGCUUGGCUUCUAGUUCCCUCGGAAGUACAACUCUGCAGUAGGCUCCUAUCAGCACCACUUUGGCUCCAACUGCCUCCUCUGCCAUCAUUAUUGUCAUCUCCCUUGUUUUCCCAAGAGCUUCCAGACAGUUUGCCCCAUGAAUCAUUGGAUUCCCCAACUGCAUUAGUGCCCUUGCCCCAACCACCAGCUUCAUUACUACUUUCAUCAUUUCUGGAAUCCCAUCUCUGCGGUUGGCUCUUAUCAGCACCUCCUUGGUUCCAACUGCCUCCACCACUAGUUUUCCAUCCUUCGCCAACAUUGUUUGUCCCGUUCUUCCAGUCGGCCUUGUCAUCACCUCUUAGCUUCCAGCUGCCUCCACUAGUAUUCCAUCCUCCUCCAUCAUUACCAUCUCCCUUGUUUCCCCAAGAGCUUGCUGAUGAUUUACCCCAUGAAUCAUUGGAUUCCCCAACUGCAUUAAUGCCCUUGCCCCAACCACCAGUUUGGCUCUUAUUAGCACCCCCUUGGUUCCAACUGCCUCCGCCACUAGUUUUCCAUCCUUCGCCAUCAUUGUUGAUCCCAUUCUUCCAGUCAAAGGCCUUGUCUUUGCCAGAAUCAUUGUUUUCAUUCCAACUACCACUAUGAUCCCUCCUUCCCCCGCCUCUGCCACCAUAUCCUCUAUCAAAUCUACCUCUACCACCAAAACCUCCCCUAUCUAAACCACCUCUACCUCCAAAUCCUCCUCUGUCGGAUCUGUCUCUA